rnacentral:rRNA from 1 species
GAUGAACGCUGGCGGCGUGCUUAACACACGCAAGUCGAACGGAAAGGCCGAAGCUUGCUUCGGUACUCGAGUGGCGAACGGGUGAGUAACACGUGGGUGAUCUGCCCUGUACUUCGGGAUAAGCUUGGGAAACUGGGUCUAAUACCGGAUAUGACGAUCUCUUGGAUGGGGUUGUGGAAAGCUUUUGCGGUAUGGGAUGAGCUCGCGGCCUAUCAGCUUGUUGGUGGGGUAAUGGCCUACCAAGGCGUCGACGGGUAGCCGGCCUGAGAGGGUGUACGGCCACAUUGGGACUGAGAUACGGCCCAGACUCCUACGGGAGGCAGCAGUGGGGAAUAUUGCACAAUGGGCGCAAGCCUGAUGCAGCGACGCCGCGUGGGGGAUGACGGCCUUCGGGUUGUAAACUCCUUUCGCAAUCGACGAAGCCUUUUGGUGACGGUAGGUUGAGAAGAAGCACCGGCUAACUACGUG